rnacentral:lncRNA from 1 species
UUUUUUCAUUUUUCAAAAUUUGAAAUCUUAUCCCAAAACUCCACUCCCCAACUCUAAAUCCUAAAACCUAAACUCUCAACCCUAAACCCUAAAUCAUAAACCUAAAUCCUAAACCCCACCCCUUAACUCUAAACCCUUAACUCUAAACCCUAAACCCCACUCCCCAACUCUAAACCCUAAACCCUAAACCCCACUCCCCAACUCUAAACCCUAAACUCUAAACCCUAAACCCUAAACCCUAAAUUCUAAACCCUAAUGUCUAAAUUAAUUUACCAUUAGAGUAUAAGUGUAUAUUCAUCUC